GUGUGCGGCUGCCCUUGGGACUGGAUGCGCGUUUGAGGGGCCACAAGGGAGGACAACAGUGUGAGUUGGGCACGGCCACAGAGCAAGUGAGCAGAGCAGCUGGGCGCAUCUGAGAUGACGAAGAGGCAGCUGGUGACUGGAGGAGUGACGUGUGCUUGUCCUUCAGAAGGAAGGGAAGAGGGAGACUCUCGGCCCCUUGAAAGCUAAGGGGCCGCAAAGGAUGGUGACCGUCCAAGUCCAGCACGGGUAAGGAGCAGGUGGAGAGGUCCUAGAGGAAUGCGACAGGUGGAAAAGCACGCUUUAUGUCCAGUGUUUCCCAAAACUGGAGGCAUAAUAAAAGAGCAUUACUAAUACAAUAAUAAAGGAAAUG